rnacentral:rRNA from 1 species
AUUGAACGCUGGCGGCAUGCCUAACACAUGCAAGUCGAACGAGUGGCGGACGGGUGAGUAAUAUCUGGGAACCUGCCUGAUGGAGGGGGAUAACUACUGGAAAAGGUAGCUAAUACCGCAUACCAUCGGAUGUGCCCAUGUGGGAUUAGCUAGUUGGUGGGGUAACGGCUCACCAAGGCGACGAUCCCUAGCUGGUCUGAGAGGAUGACCAGCCACACUGGAACUGAGACACGGUCCAGACUCCUACGGGAGGCAGCAGUGGGGAAUAUUGCGCAAUGGGCGAAAGCCUGAUGCAGCCAUGCCGCGUGAAUGAAGAAGGCCUUCGGGUUGUAAAGUACUGUUGGCGGUGAAGCGGUAUCCGCAGAAGAAGCACCGGCUAACUACGUGCCAGCAGCCGCGGUAAUAC